GUCCUUGCCGUAAACUAUGUAUACUUGGUGUUAUUGGGCUCAACCCUGAUAGUACCGUAGCUAACGCGAUAAGUAUACCGCCUGGGGAGUACGCUCGCAAGGGUGGAAACUCAAAAGAAAUUGACGGGGACCCGGCACAAGCAGUGGAGCAUGUGGUUUAAUUCGAUGCAACGCGAAGAACCUUACCUGGGCUUGACAUGCACCUGACAGUUAUAGAAAUAUAAUGUUCUAGCAAGAGACAGGUGCACAGGUGCUGCAUGGCUGUCGU
rnacentral:rRNA from 1 species